rnacentral:rRNA from 1 species
UACGGAGGUGGCAAGCGUUGUUCGGAAUUACUGGGCGUAAAGGGCGCGUAGGCGGCCCACUAAGUCAGACGUGAAAUCCCGCGGCUUAACCUGGGAACUGCGUCUGAUACUGGAGGGCUUGAGUAUGGGAGAGGGAUGUAGAAUUCCAGGUGUAGCGGUGAAAUGCGUAGAUAUCUGGAGGAAUACCGGUGGCGAAGGCGGCAUCCUGGACCAUUACUGACGCUGAGGCGCGAAAGCGAGGGGAGCAAACGGG